rnacentral:rRNA from 1 species
AUUGAACGCUGGCGGCAUGCUUUACACAUGCAAGUCGAACGGUAACAGGCCGCAAGGUGCUGACGAGUGGCGAACGGGUGAGUAAUGCAUCGGAACGUGCCCAAUCGUGGGGGAUAACGCAGCGAAAGCUGCGCUAAUACCGCAUACGAUCUAAGGAUGAAAGCGGGGGAUCGCAAGACCUCGCGCGAUUGGAGCGGCCGAUAUCAGAUUAGGUAGUUGGUGGGGUAAAGGCUCACCAAGCCAACGAUCUGUAGCUGGUCUGAGAGGACGACCAGCCACACUGGAACUGAGACACGGUCCAGACUCCUACGGGAGGCAGCAGUGGGGAAUUUUGGGACAAUGGACGCAAGUCUGAUCCAGCCAUUCCGCGUGCAGGAUGAAGGCCCUCGGGUUGUAAACUGCUUUUGUACGGAACGAAAAGGUCUACGUCUUAAUACGGGGGGCUCAUGACGGUACCGUAAGAAUAAGCACCGGCUAACUACGUGCCAG